GAUGAACGCUGGCGGCGUGCCUAAUACAUGCAAGUCGAGCGAACAGACGAGGAGCUUGCUCCUCUGACGUUAGCGGCGGACGGGUGAGUAACACGUGGAUAACCUACCUAUCAGACUGGGAUAACUUCGGGAAACCGGAGCUAAUACCGGAUAAUAUAUUGAACCGCAUGGUUCAAUAGUGAAAGACGGUUUUGCUGUCACUUAUAGAUGGAUCCGCGCCGCAUUAGCUAGUUGGUAAGGUAACGGCUUACCAAGGCGACGAUGCGUAGCCGACCUGAGAGGGUGAUCGGCCACACUGGAACUGAGACACGGUCCAGACUCCGACGGGAGGCAGCAGUAGGGAAUCUUCCGCAAUGGGCGAAAGCCUGACGGAGCAACGCCGCGUGAGUGAUGAAGGUCUUCGGAUCGUAAAACGCUGUUAUUAGUGAAGAACAAAUGUGUAAGUAACUAGGCACGUCUUGACGGUACCUAAUCAGAAAGCCACGGCUAACUACGUG
rnacentral:rRNA from 1 species